rnacentral:rRNA from 1 species
GACGAACGCUGGCGGCAUGCCUAACACAUGCAAGUCGAACGAGAUCUUCGGGUCUAGUGGCGCACGGGUGCGUAACGCGUGGGAAUCUGCCCUUGGGUUCGGAAUAACUUCGGGAAACUGAAGCUAAUACCGGAUGAUGACGUAAGUCCAAAGAUUUAUCGCCCAAGGAUGAGCCCGCGUAGGAUUAGCUAGUUGGUGAGGUAAAGGCUCACCAAGGCGACGAUCCUUAGCUGGUCUGAGAGGAUGAUCAGCCACACUGGGACUGAGACACGGCCCAGACUCCUACGGGAGGCAGCAGUGGGGAAUAUUGGACAAUGGGCGAAAGCCUGAUCCAGCAAUGCCGCGUGAGUGAUGAAGGCCUUAGGGUUGUAAAGCUCUUUUGCCCGGGAUGAUAAUGACAGUACCGGGAGAAUAAGCACCGGCUAACUUCGUGCCAGCAGCCGCGGUAAUGUGACUACUG